rnacentral:rRNA from 1 species
UCGAGAAUCUUCCGCAAUGGACGAAAGUCUGACGGAGCGACGCCGCGUGGUUGAUGAAGUCCUUAGGGACGUAAAAACCUUUUAUGAGGGAAGAAGUUUAUUGACAUUACCUCAUGAAUAAGGGGCUCCUAACUCUGUGCCAGCAGGAGCGGUAAUACAGAGGCCCCAAGCAUUAUCCGGAUUUACUGGGCGUAAAGGGUGCGUAGGCGGUUAUAUUAGUCGGGUGUAAAAUCCAGAGGCUCAACCUCUGGCUGGCAUUCGAAACGGUAUAACUAGAAGAAGUCAGAGGCAAGCAGAACUCAUGGUGUAGGGGUGAAAUCCGUUGAUAUCAUGGGGAAUACCAAAUGCGAAGGCAGCUUGCUGGGACUUUCUUGACGCUGAGGCACGAAAGCGUGGGUAG